UACAGAGACUGCAAGCGUUAUUCGGAUUCACUGGGCGUAAAGGGUGCGCAGGCGGCCAAGUGUGUUAGGCGUGAAAGCCUGGGGCUUAACCCCAGAAUUGCACCUAAAACUACAUGGCUAGAGCAUUGGAGAGGGAAGCGGAAUUCACGGUGUAGCAGUGAAAUGCGUAGAUAUCGUGAGGAACACCAGAGGCGAAGGCGGCUUCCUGGACAAUUGCUGACGCUCAGGCACGAAAGCGUGGGGAGCAAAAGGG
rnacentral:rRNA from 1 species